UACGGGGGGGGCAAGCGUUGUUCGGAAUUACUGGGCGUAAAGGGCUCGUAGGCGGCCAACUAAGUCAGACGUGAAAUCCCUCGGCUUAACCGGGGAACUGCGUCUGAUACUGGAUGGCUGGAGUUUGGGAGAGGGAUGCGGAAUUCCAGGUGUAGCGGUGAAAUGCGUAGAUAUCUGGAGGAACACCGGUGGCGAAGGCGGCAUCCUGGACCAAUAUUGACGCUGAGGAGCGAAAGCUAGGGGAGCAAACGGGG
rnacentral:rRNA from 1 species